UACAGAGGCCACAAGCGUUAGACGGAAUCACUGGGCUUAAAGCGUGUGUAGGCGGGAUGGUAAGUACCUUGUGAAAUCCCACAGCUUAACUGUGGAAAUGCUUGGUAUACUGCCGUUCUUGAGUCACCUAGGGGCAGCUGGAACAGAUGGUGGAGCGGUGAAAUGCAUAGAUAUCAUCUGGAACGCCAAUGGUGCAGACAAGCUGCUGGGGGUGUACUGACGCUGAGGCACGAAGGCCAGGGGAGCAAACGGG
rnacentral:rRNA from 1 species